ensembl:lncRNA
GGAAGUUUGAGAGGGGUGGGAAGGGACUUUCUAUUUCCCGAGUUUUCUUAUUGCUAGGCUCUUUACAUUUACAGACUUGAUCUCAUUUCUUGAUCUCAUUUAAUCCUCUUCACAUCCCUGUGAGACUGGAAUUGCCAUCUCUGCUUAGCAUCAGGGACCUAAGGGUCGGAGAGAUUAGGUAACUUGCUCAGGUCACACAGCUGGUAAAUGGACACCCCAGUGUUCAAAGCCAGAUUUGUCUGACCCCAAAGUCUAAGAACCCAGAGGUAAACAGUGAUACCCAGUGAGUAGUCUGGAGGCCGAGGAGAGUGAUCACUGACCAGAAGAGGCUUCCUGCAUGAAGUGGAUCUGGAGUCCCUGAGGAUGAGAGAGGUUCAUUCAAAGCGAAAGGACUGGAGGGAUGGCUGAAGACUGAUGCUAGAGUUCUGUCUCCCCAGUACCUGGGAGCCACUUGAAGACAGUGACGGGCUCUAAUCCACUCUUGUAUUCCCGCACCUGUGCCUGGCACACAGGUGGACCCAUGGGGCCUGCAGUCACUCUGGCCGACCCUUCGAC